CCAGUUAGAAGCAGUCCAAAAGCAACCUUCGGUCGCCUCCUUUUCCAUCUUUAUUUCUUCGCUUUGUAAUUGUUGCUACAGUUAGGGAAAAACAUGCUGCGCUUGCCACAGCCCACAAGGCAAGUUUGGAAAAUUAUGGCAAAAUCUGCCCUCUUGGAACCGAAACUCCUGGAUGCUGGAUGCAAGAUGCUGGAUGCUAGUUGCUGUAUUCUGGAUGCGGCACUCUGG